ACACCGGCAGCUCAAGUGGUAGCCGCUUUUAUUGGGCCUAAAGCGUCCGCAGCCGGUCUGAUAAGUCUCUGGUGAAAUCCCGCAGUUUAACUGUGGGAAUUGCUGGAGAUACUAUCAUGACUCGAGGUCGGGAGAGGCUGGAGGCACUCCCAUGGUAGGGGUGAAAUCCUGUAAUCCUGGGAGGACCACCUGUGGUGAAGGCAUCCAGCUGGAACGAACCUGACGGUGAGGGACGAAAGCCAGGGGCGCGAACCGGAUUAGAUACCCGGGUAGUCCUGGCCGUAAACGAUGUGGACUUGGUGUUGGGAUGGCUUCGAGCUGCCCCAGUGCCGAAGGGAAGCUGUUAAGUCCACCGCCUGGGAAGUACGGCCGCAAGGCUGAAACUUAAAGGAAUUGACGGGG
rnacentral:rRNA from 1 species